rnacentral:misc_RNA from 1 species
AACUUUUAGCAAUGGAUCACUUGGCUCGGGGGGCGAUGAAGAACGCAGCUAACUGCGCGUCGGAAUGUGAACUGCAGGACACAUGAACAUCGACACUUUGAACGCACAUUGCGGACCGUGGCUCGUCUACUGUCCAUGCCUGGCUCAGGGUCGGUUAAACAUCCAUCCAGGGUUAAAAUCCUGGCAUUGGGCUUUCCUCUCGCGACCUUAGCGAAGCGAGAGGUGGCUUCAAGUUUACCGUUGCAGGAAUGCCUCUUGGCUACUGCCGACUCUCGGGAACGUAAAAAACUCCUGGGUCGGCUCUGCCUCGAGUCUUCUCGCAGGGCGCUCCCCCCGUUGCAGACCUCGUGCGCUGCCUCGGCUGUGGGUGCGGGACGCCCGCCCUUACCAUAAACUUCGACCUGAGAGUAGGCAAGAUUACCCGCCGAAUUUAAGCAUAUCAAUAAGGGAGGCU